UACGUAGGGUGCGAGCGUUGUCCGGAAUUAUUGGGCGUAAAGAGCUCGUAGGCGGCCUGUCGCGUCCGGAUGUGAAAGCCCGGGGCUUAACCCCCGGGUCUGCAUUCGAUACGGGCAGGCUAGAGUGUGGUAGGGGAGAUCGGAAUUCCUGGUGUAGCGGUGAAAUGCGCAGAUAUCAGGAGGAACACCGGUGGCGAAGGCGGAUCUCUGGGCCAUUACUGACGCUGAGGAGCGAAAGCGUGGGGAGCGAACAGG
rnacentral:rRNA from 1 species